UGCAAGUCGAACGAAGUAGCAAUACUUAGUGGCAGACGGGUGAGUAACAUGUAGGUAUCUGCCCUUUGGCCUGGAAUAACACGAGGAAACUUGUGCUAAUACCGGAUAAGUCUUUACGGAGAAAGCUUUAUGCACCAUUGGAUGAGCCUGCACUUGAUUAGUUUGUUGGUGGGGUAAUGGCCUACCAAGACUGUGAUCAAUAGCUGAUUUGAGAGGAUGAUCAGCCACAUUGGGACUGAGACACGGCCCAAACUCCUACGGGAGGCAGCAGUGGGGAAUCUUGCACAAUGGAGGAAACUCUGAUGCAGCGAUGCCGCGUGAGUGAAGAAGGCCCUUGGGUUGUAAAGCUCUUUCGUCGGGGAAGAAAAUGACUGUACCCGAAUAAGAAGGUCCGGCUAACUUCGUGCCAGCAGCCGCGGUAACACGAAGGGACCUAGCGUAGUUCGGAAUUACUGGGCUUAAAGAGUUCGUAGGUGGUUGAAAAAGUUGGUGGUGAAAUCCCAGAGCUUAACUCUGGAACUGCCAUCAAAACUUUUCAGCUAGAGUAUGAUAGAGGAAAGCAGAAUUUCUAGUGUAGAGGUGAAAUUCGUAGAUAUUAGAAAGAACACCAAUUGCGAAGGCAGCUUUCUGGAUCAUUACUGACACUGAGGAACGAAAGCAUGGGUAGCGAAGAGGAUUAGAUACCCUCGUAGUCCAUGCCGUAAACGAUGUGUGUUAGACGUUGGAAAUUUAUUUUCAGUGUCGCAGCGAAAGCGAUAAACACACCGCCUGGGGAGUACGACCGCAAGGUUAAAACUCAAAUGAAUUGACGGGGACCCGCACAAGUAGUGGAGCAUGUGGUUUAAUUCGAAGAUACGCGCAGAACCUUACCAACACUUGACAUGUUCGUCGCGACUCUAAGAGAUUAGAGUUUUCGGUUCGGCCGGACGAAACACAGGUGCUGCAUGGCUGUCGUCAGCUCGUG
rnacentral:rRNA from 1 species